AGAGAUGUGGCUCAGUGGUUAAGCACACUUGCUUUGCAUGCAGAGUGUCCCAGGUUUGAUCCCUGGCAUCUCCA